GAGUUUGAUCCUGGCUCAGAACGAACGCUGGCGGCGUGGAUAAGACAUGCAAGUCGAACGGAGAAUGUGAAUAGCUUGCUAAUUGCAUUCUUAGUGGCGGACGGGUGCGUAACACGUGAGCAACCUGCUCUGAAGUGGGGGAUAGCCUUUCGAAAGGAAGAUUAAUACCGCACGUGGUCUCCGGACCAAAGGUGGCUUCGGCUGUCGCUUCAGAAUGGGCUCGCGGCCUAUCAGCUUGUUGGUGAGGUAACGGCUCACCAAGGCGACGACGGGUAGCUGGUCUGAGAGGACGAUCAGCCACACUGGAACUGAGACACGGUCCAGACACCUACGGGUGGCAGCAGUCGAGAAUCAUUCACAAUGGGGGAAACCCUGAUGGUGCAACGCCGCGUGGAGGAUGAAGGCCCUAGGGUCGUAAACUCCUGUCAUCGGAGAGUAAGCCUUGGUCGUUAAUAGCUUCCAAGGUUGAUAGUAUCCGAAGAGGAAGGGACGGCUAACUUCGUGCCAGCAGCCGCGGUAAUACGAAGGUCCCAAGCGUUGUUCGGAAUCACUGGGCGUAAAGAGUAUGUAGGCGGUGUGGAAAGUCAGAUGUGAAAUCUCCAGGCUCAACCUGGAAACUGCAUCCGAUACUACCACACUAGAGUAAUGGAGGGGUAACUGGAAUUCUCGGUGUAGCAGUGAAAUGCGUAGAUAUCGAGAGGAACACUCGUGGCGAAGGCGAGUUACUGGACAUUUACUGACGCUGAGAUACGAAGGCCAGGGUAGCGAAAGGGAUUAGA
rnacentral:rRNA from 1 species